rnacentral:rRNA from 1 species
AGCAGCCGCGGUAAUUCCAGCUCCAAUAGCGUAUAUUAAAGUUGUUGCAGUUAAAAAGCUCGUAGUUGAAUUUCGGGAUCAAUCUGCCGGUCGUGCCUCCGGUAUGCACUGGUUUUAUUGGUUUCUCCCUUCUGACGAAUCAUGAUGUCAUUAAUUUGGUGUCAUGGGGAAUCAGGACUGUUACUUUGAAAAAAUUAGAGUGUUUAAAGCAGGCUCACGCUUGAAUACAUUAGCAUGGAAUAAUGAAAUAGGACGUUUGACCCUAUUUUGUUGGUUUCUAGGAUCGACGUAAUGAUUAAUAGGGAUAGUUGGGGGCAUUAGUAUUCAAUUGUCAGAGGUGAAAUUCUUGGAUUUAUUGAAGACUAACUACUGCGAAAGCAUUUGCCAAGGAUGUUUUCAUUAAUCAAGAACGAAAGUUAGGGGAUCGAAGACGAUCAGAUACCGUCGUAGUCUUAACCAUAAACUAUGCCGACUAGGGAUCGGAUGAUGUUAUUUUUUAAUGACUCAUUCGGCACCUUAC